UAAAGGUAUAAUUCUCCUCCAAGACUAAGGAUGUUCUCUGACAGCAGCUGCAUCCAUGUUAAGGUGAUACUUAAAUGUUCCCUAAAGAGUUAAACAUGUACCCUAGGCUGAGGAAUCUGGGACUCAGAGAGGUGAAGUGACUUCCCAAGAUCACAAAUAUCUGCAAAAGUCAACAUUAUGAAUAACUGAAAAGAAGAUGACAUAAGAAAUACAAUAAAGUCAGCAAGUAAGAAAGAAUAGCACCAUU
rnacentral:lncRNA from 10 species